UGCACAACCAUUUUGUAGUGGGUUUUGUUACAGCUUUUCUAUAUUUGUAAUUUGACUUGCAGACUGUGUGCAAGACAGUGUGAAUCUUGUUCUUGUUAUUGCCAACCACUUGAUGCACAGUGUCACUUAUUUCCUGAGGCUAUUUUCCAAUGGCCUCAUUUCUGGUUUUUGCUUUUUUUAGUCUGCUUCAACUCCUACCCAUACUUAUUAUUUCCUUUGGCUUUGCUGCAUUUUCCUACAUUAAUCAUUCAUCCACUGCUUUCAGAACUAUAUUGUCUUUGUCACUUGAACUCCUCCCAGUAAGGUAUUUCUUCCAAACUUCCCUUCCCCCUUUCCCCCCCCACCAAGUCUACCUCACUGUUAUCUCCUUCCAUAUCCAUAUCUGGACACAUAUGUAACAUAUGAGAGCUGUCUUGGGAUGCUGAUCACCUGCUUUGCUCUGCUUCCUACCCUACCUGCGAUGAUCUACUGAGAAAAACCAGUUGUCACACUGAGCUUUGUGUGAUGUUCAUGACAUGCAACGUAGCCCAUUCCUUCAGAGGCUCUGCUUAGGCACCAGGUGUUGCUUAUUUCACAGAGCACUCAAUAAUGUUUUAUUCUUAACAAACACAGAAGUAAAGGCCAUCAAAGCUUCCGAGCAAGGUGGGUUGUUGUCAUUGCUGCAUGAGAAGAAAAUGGCAGAUAAGUUCAAGAAAUCACAUUUGGCAUUCCCACAGUCCUCAGAGAGGCUUCAUACUCGACGAAAGCUCGGGACGUCGGUGGAAGCCGUAGCGCAAAGGUAGAGGAUUUUACCCCGUUACUGCUUAGCGACUGAAAGGGGAAGGCGAGCGGAGCUGUCGGAUGAGACGUACUUGUCAGAUUUACAGUAGGAAACCUAAAAAUAUCGCGGAGGGCAGCGUGAUUAAAGACCUCCUCGGCGUGCGAGCGGAUUUGCAGCUGCAUUGUCAGAGUCGCUUGGAGAUGAGACACGGGACGGUUGCGGUUUUGGAAGCUGCUUCGCAUCAGCUUCGGGGCUGACUUCACGGUAGCGUUCGCCCCUCGGGGGAGGACGAACCGCCCGGUGCCGGGCUGCCGGAGCCAGCGCCUCCGCAGCCGGGGGGAGCCGGGCCCCGCUGGCCGCCCGCCCGCUCGCUCUGCC
rnacentral:lncRNA from 1 species